rnacentral:rRNA from 1 species
UACGUAGGGUGCGAGCGUUAAUCGGAAUUACUGGGCGUAAAGCGUGCGCAGGCGGUUAGCCGUGUCCGAUGGGAAAGCCCCGGGCUUAACCUGGGAAUGGCAUUGGAAACUGGCUGGCUGGAGUGUGGCAGAGGGGGGUGGAAUUCCACGUGUAGCAGUGAAAUGCGUAGAGAUGUGGAGGAACACCGAUGGCGAAGGCAGCCCCCUGGGCCAACACUGACGCUCAGGCACGAAAGCGUGGGGAGCAAACAGG